UAGGGUUUUAUGAAUGUUAAACACAGUGUGUUAUGAGGUUUUAUUAUUGACAGGUUACAAGGAGAUUUCCUCAAACUUACCCAAAAGAUUACAUAAUGAUAAAAAAUGUAUAAGGUCAUGUGUCUACAGCUAUUCAAGUGAAGUAUCAACAUAAAACUUUCAAAAUCUGCUAGUAAGGAUAAAGAAAUGCAUGUGAAAACCAAAUCAGAGUUCACUCAAAAUCUCAAGGGCUACAAUUAAAAGUAGAAUAACUCAUAUAUAAUUGCUGCAAUUAACAUAGAGUUGAUUGAAUGACAACCUAAUUGUUCAUAAUUCUUUCAUUUAUUUGAACAAAUAUGGACAGGUAAGCCAUAGGAUGGGAAAAAAAGCAAAAAAUGUGAAGCCCCAAAGCAGUUCCCUUAAUAAUUUGCAUUCCAUUUUCACUGAUCAAUAAAAUCAGGGUCUUAUGCCAUCUAUGUUCCACACUGAAAUAUGUUGAAAACACAAGUUACACAAACACGCACUCUGUUGAAAUGAAAAUGUAAGAUGUGUUUUUUAUGUUCAUGUUCAAAAUGUGGCACUUCAUAGACGAGCCAGGUCAAUUAGUACCAUAGUCUCUUUGCUAACCAUGCUGCCGGAGACAGCUCCACGGGCCCUCAUUACUGCCGAUGGCUCCCCCAUUGUCAAACAUGUUCACAGCCACCUCUUCAUUAUGGUCUCUAAAGGAACAAGAUACAUGUCAUUGACAUGGCAAAUCAAUGUUGAGUAGCAAAAUACCAUAUCAUAUCUAUUACCUGGGGUGUGUUCAGUUCGCUUCAACUUUUGCUAUGUUGAGUGAUGGUGCGUACUGAACAGCACGUUUCUCCAAAACGAUGUGCAAUCUUCAACAACCUUUGGUGAACCUUUGCUCCCGUUGGGUGGGUGUGGUGUAUGUGGCCUGACCAAUAUGGGUGUGACCAUUUGAAAUAUCAAAACUCGCGCAGCACACCAUACGGUAAUAGCCCUCUGGGUCAUCAUAAUCACUACGUUUUUCCAAUUGGUCAUUAAGUACAGUAUAGUUUCCAUUGAAUUCAGCCUUGCACACCGUUCGGUCAUACUGAACGCACCCCAGGUAGUCAAAUAUUGUUCUCUACUAUACCUAUUGGCAGGACCUCCAUUCUGAUUGAUACCGUUGUUCAGAGCACUCAUCUCAGUCUCUUCAUCUCUGCAGCAAAACAUGCAGCAGUAAUCACGCAAUAUAUCUUACAUCUGAUUAUGAUUAAAACCAUGAAUAUUAGACUUACUGGUUUCUACUGGCACCCUGCUGCUU
ensembl:lncRNA